GGGGACAGCUGGACCACCCAUCUCCUUUUCUGGCUGCUAUCACUGAGCAAGUUGCAGGAUUACCAUCUCCUUGAGACACACUUCAUAUUUGAUGGGAGCCCUUAGCAUUUGCAAGUGAUUCCUGAGGGAGCUUCCCAAUGAGACUAGGAGAAGGCUGUGUGACUAAGCUGAGCAAAAACAACAUUAGUGACCAGAAGAACAAAUCUACAUGGCUACUAAAGAAAAACAAGACGUUUCUGUUGGGAAACCAAGCCAGCCUGCUCUAUAGGGGUCACACGGAGCUGGACUGACUGGCUGACAACCUCCUGCAGCUGCCCACAGCUGAAAGCAUAGGCAGGUGUAUGUAAUUUUGAGAUUAUGGGUACAUCCAACCUGGUAUCCCACCCUUGCACCUGGUUGCAGCUCAGCCACAGCAGUGCCUCACAACAAGCUCUCAAUGGUAUAAUUAACUGGAGAUAUCAGACAGGUCUGCUUCAUUACUGCCGUGUACUGCCUGCAGGUUCUUUCCAAAGCCUUUUCACCUAAUGGCCUUUGCUGUCAGCUCUCUUUUUUCCCCUAUGUGCUGAUUGUUGGCACUUCUCUAAAACAGUGCUAAUGAUCUAAUAAAUAUGAUUAUGCAAGA